AUUGAACGCUGGCGGCAGGCCUAACACAUGCAAGUCGAGCGGAGCGGCGGACGGGUGAGUGAUGCUUAGGAAUCUGCCUGGUAGUGGGGGAGAACGAUCGGUAACGGGCGCUAAUACCGCAUCCUAGCAGAUGAGGCUAGGUCGGAAUAGCUAGUUGGUGGGGUAAAGGCCUACCAAGGCGAAGAUCCGUAACUGGUCUGAGAGGGUGAUCAGUCACACUGGAACUGAGACACGGUCCAGACUCCUACGUGAGGCAGCAGUGGGGAAUAUUGGACAAUGGGCGAAAGCCUGAUCCAGCCAUGCCGCGUGUGUGAAGAAGGUCUUCGGAUUGUAAAGUACUUUAAGUUGGGAGGCGUUACCAGCAGAAUAAGCACCGGCUAACUUCGUGCCAGCAGCCGCGGUAAUUC
rnacentral:rRNA from 1 species